UGAGGUGGAGGUGGCGGCGCCACAAAGUGCUGCGGUUGCAUCAUCUGAUGCUGCAUUACCAUAGCUGUUGUCGGAUACUGCAUCGCCACCCACUGCGGAUGCGAUUGUAGCGGUUGUUGUUGUCGCUGGUUCUGUUCCUGCGAAGGUUGUGUUGGUGAUUGCGAAUCCGAACCGUUGUUUUGUUGCAUCCUUAUCUUUUUAUUACAAUUAUUGCUAUCUCUAUUUUCAGUUUAAGAGAAUAUAAAUAAACAAACAAGACUCCAAUGGUUAUUUGAAUUGAAUUCUUUCUAAUUAUUUUCAGGGAAACGAAAAAUAUAGAAGAGAGAGAGAAAGGUACGGCUAGGGUCUAAGCAGAGGAUUUAACGAAGGGUGAUGGGAUGAGACGGAUGAUUUACUUCGAUGGUUUCAUCACAACCGUUCAUAUAUCAAAUUGACAAUAU
rnacentral:lncRNA from 1 species